AACGAACGCUGGCGGCGUGCCUAACACAUGCAAGUCGUGCGAGAAAGUUCCUUCGGGAGCGAGUAAAGCGGCGCACGGGUGAGUAACACGUAGGUAACCUGCCCCCCAGUCUGGAACAACUAGAGGAAACUCUAGCUAAUGCCGGAUGAGACCACGAUCCCUUCGGGGGUUGCGGCCAAAGAUGGCCUCUACUUGUAAGCUAUCGCUGAGGGAUGGGCCUGCGGGCCAUUAGCUUGUUGGUGAGGUAACGGCUCACCAAGGCUGUGAUGGCUAGCUGGUCUGAGAGGAUGACCAGCCACACUGGGACUGAGACACGGCCCAGACUCCUACGGGAGCAGCAGUGGGAAUAUU
rnacentral:rRNA from 1 species